rnacentral:rRNA from 1 species
CGGCGGACGGGUGAGUAACGCGUGGAUAACCUGCCUCACACAGGGGGAUAACAGUUAGAAAUGACUGCUAAUACCGCAUAAGCGCACGGUACCGCAUGGUACAGUGUGAAAAACUCCGGUGGUGUGAGAUGGAUCCGCGUCUGAUUAGGUAGUUGGUGGGGUAACGGCCCACCAAGGCGACGAUUGGUAGCCGGACUGAGAGGUUGAACGGCCACAUUGGGACUGAGACACGGCCCAG